rnacentral:rRNA from 1 species
GAUGAACGCUGGCGGCGUGCUUAACACAUGCAAGUCGAACGGUGAACACGGAGCUUGCUCUGUGGGAUCAGUGGCGAACGGGUGAGUAACACGUGAGCAACCUGCCCCUGACCCUGGGAUAAGCGCUGGAAACGGCGUCUAAUACUGGAUAUGUGACGUGACCGCAUGGUCUGCGUUUGGAAAGAUUUUUCGGUUGGGGAUGGGCUCGCGGCCUAUCAGCUUGUUGGUGAGGUAAUGGCUCACCAAGGCGUCGACGGGUAGCCGGCCUGAGAGGGUGACCGGCCACACUGGGACUGAGACACGGCCCAGACUCCUACGGGAGGCAGCAGUGGGGAAUAUUGCACAAUGGGCGCAAGCCUGAUGCAGCAACGCCGCGUGAGGGAUGACGGCCUUCGGGUUGUAAACCUCUUUUAGCAGGGAAGAAGCGAAAGUGACGGUACCUGCAGAAAAAGCGCCGGCUAACUACGUG